rnacentral:lncRNA from 1 species
CCUAAACGGUUUUUAUCCUCUUGUGAGAGAAACGGUCCGUUACAAUUGGUGGCAAGCGGCGGGAUCAUUCCCACAGCCCAGAAGGACAGCUACAAGACAACAUCAAUUCCUUGAUUACAAAUUGCGGGCAAUGCUAGUACCCGUACAGCGACCCUAUCUACAAAGGAACCAACUUCAGCAGAGCAAACAUGGCGCCCAGCUACACUCAGG